GUGAGCCCUUUUCAAAUUUCAAACUACGAGCCUUUUUCAUUUUCGUUCUCUUUCUCCCUCAAAGAUCUGGAUUCAAAAUCCUCAUCUUCAUCUCCAUCUCCCGACUUGAUACAGAGCCGUGUGGAUCUGAGUUUGUUCUUCAUCUAGGGUUUUGAUGAUGAGAGCAAUUGCGUGACGGGCUUGCCUUGCUCUCAAGAAAUCGAUCUUGAAACCCUACUCUGUGAAACCCUAAAACUUGCGAACCCUUCAGAUCUUGAAUCCCCCUAAUCUCCUUUUCUUCAAUCAUCGCCACCCAAAAGUUGCUUCUAAAGAUCGUAUGUAUGAGACGCUGAAAGCUGAAGAAACCGAUCAACCACUGGUGCAAUCGCCCUGUCUUUCCCUGCUCCAGUCUCAAAUCGCUACAUAUGCUGCUCAAGAGUGGGACUAGAAUCUAGCGAAUCACCAAAGGUUUACGAGACUCGGUUAAAUCAAAGAUUGUUCAUGGGGCAAGACUAUGAUGACGUGUUUCAAUGCGUCUGAGUUAAUUCUAGCAAAUGUGAGAUUUUCCGCAUCUUGGCGGGGCAACCGGAUGGUUAUGUGAUUCAUCUCUGCUUUCACAUGGCACCCGGGGACACAACUAAGGUAACACAUUGAUUCCAUUUUGGGUAGUGGAAACUUGAGAGAAGCUGUGAGGCGUAUUCCAAUUCUCUGCAUUGGACAACAUAUUUCAUACACAGGUCAGUGGCGUCGCGUUUGAUUCAUAUUGGCCUGCCCCCAAUACAGAUGGCACUGGGGAAAGUAUCGUAUAUCGGUUUGGUUCUGUUGGUCAGGACACACAAGUGCUAUUAUGGGAUCUUGAAAUGGAUGAGUUAGUUGUGCCAAUGCGUAGGGCUCAUGGUGGGUCCCCAACAAUGAGUACCGGGUCCCAAUCUGCUCACUGGGACCAAACAUAUCCAGCUGACAUUUCUUCAUAAGUGGUUUGACUUAAGUGGUACCGUAUCGCACGUGGGUUAGGUUUUUGCUGGAACAAUUGGUCUCUUUUGAAAGUGAUUUUUUUUAGCAUGGAGGGUUGCUUUAAAUGGGUUACCCACGUUGACAGCCUUACAGCAGAGAGGAAUUGAUCUGGGCUCGAUCCGAUAGCCUAAUAUAUUAAUUUCCAGCCUUACAAUAUAUCUUUAAAAACCUUCUUUAUUGCUCGGGUUGAAUAAAUAUAAUUUCAUAUAUUAAAUAAUAAAAUUUUAUAACUAUAAAAACAAUAUGUAUUGUGCGAGUUGAAUAAAUGUAAUUCUAUAUACCAAAUAAUAAAAAGGUUAUAUCUU
rnacentral:lncRNA from 1 species